AAACCAAGGACCUUCAAAGCCCUUAAUAGGAGUGAAAUUCCCCUAACCCCUG
rnacentral:tRNA from 1 species